AUGAAUUAGGUUUGCCAAUGAAUUUCAAACGGCAAACAUUACACACAGCAUAUAUACAUAUAUACAGACCGUCGAUUGGUCGGCGGCACCUAAUUACCCGCCGGCCGGCCACGGAGUCGCUGCAGCUGGGGAAGGCUCCUCCGAUUAUUGACGUUGAUCGAAGGAAGAGAUGCAUUCGAGACGGUUUUCCUCUGACCCAAUUGUAAUCUACGGAUUUUCGUGUAAACCCUAGAUCUCUGGCAUAUCUCAGAAGCUCAACCUUCUAUUUCACAACUUUAACAAUGAAGCCAAGAGCUCGUGAAGCAUAUAGAAGGUCAAGAUAUUCAGGGGAGAGAGUACCAAACUGGAUUCCAAUGGCUGGAGGGGUAUUGCUUAGCGCAUUGUCUAUGCGCUUGGGUUAUAAGCUUAAGCAGCUCCGCGAUGCUAAACAAUCGGAGGAUAGUAGCAAACUUUCAAAAGAUGGGAAAUGUGAUGAUUUCAAGAAGCAUGGAAGCUUCCAUUCGUAUUCAAAGGAUUUUAGUUUUUCCCACAAAGGGGACAAUUGCUGCAGGUGUUGCAAUGGAUCCCAGAGUGUGGAAGAAGUGGAGCAGCAAUGCAGGGGGCAAAUGCUGAGAGAGCCUGAAAUGGCUCUUGUAACCGUUCCUACUCCAGAGUCGAACAAAGAUAGCGGAGCUGGAUGGCCUUCUUCUCCCAAUCAUGUCGGGCUCCACCACAAGCCAUUCCACCACUCAAAUGGCUCUGACUCACCUUCUGAAUCCGGCUCUGACAUUCUCAGCAAGCGAGAAGUUAUACAAAAGCUGAGGCAUCAGUUGAAGAGGAGGGAUGAUAUGAUCCUGGAUAUGCAGGACCGGAUUGCUGAGCUUCAGAAUUCUCUCAACAGUCAGCUUGCACAUAAUUCUCAUCUUCAAGCUCUGCUCGAUGCUGCCAAUAGGGAUCUGUUCGAUUCGGAAAGAGAAGCUCAGCUGUUGAGAAAGGGAAUUGCAGACCAUUGUGCAGGGCAUGUUAACUCAGACGAAGAUAUUGGGGCUGUUCCAAACGGUCACAAUGGUUAUCGUCAAGCUGAAGCCAGUUUUGAGUCUUUGGAAAAUGGAAGCGGAGAUGCAGAAAAGAUGGAGAUGUUGAAAGGGGAAAUUAAUGAACUUAAGGAAUUGAUUGACGGAAAAGAUUAUUUGCUUCGGAGCUACAAAGAGCAAAGAAUAGAACUAUCAAUGAAGAUUAAAGAACUGCAUGAGAGAUUGGAUUCUCAACUUCCGAAUAUUUUGUAGGCCUACUCACAAACAACCAAUUUGUGGAUUCUUCUGCGGCCACCUCCCAUCCCAAUUUAUGCCGAAUUACUCACGCACCCCUGAUUUCUCUUUUCAUCCAUGUACUCGGCUCUCUCUAAUCCGUGCAUUUUACUGUUGAGGCUGAUCGAUGAUAUCUCUGUUGAGGAGGGACUGCAGUUCUAAGUAACAAAAGCACACACUUGCUACAUUCAUGUUCGAUUGAGAAAAUUUUGAUAUAUGAACCUAGCUAGAGACGAACAUUGGAUACAUACACAUAGCGUUCUAGUUCUAGUUCAAUCACGAAGAGAAUGUAUGUAUGUUUUCAUAACCUUUCUGUAGAGGAUCAUUCUUCAAUUUCCUCUAUUCGAAUUCUCUCAUUUAUGUAGUGGUGAUCUCUUGUAUGAUUUUUUUAUUGAAAUAUUCAGCAAAAACAAUGCAACCUUUAUACGUUCUAAAUUUGAGUUUGUUGAU